rnacentral:lncRNA from 10 species
UUUUUCCCUACUUGCAAGUUAUCAAGUCGGUCGGCCACAAUUUUAUGGAUGCUGGUUGAAAACGUAACACUCCUGGGCCAAGCCUUGGAUCUUUCUGUUUGGAACACCAGCUUGGAUGCUAAGGAGCAAUGGAUUUUUCUCCGUAUUCUUUGUUUUUCCACAGUUUUGAGCUUACUCCAUCUCAGAGCCCUGCAGGCAGGUUGGGGUAGAAGCCACAAAGAUUAUUAUGAGUAAAACUCAGCAGCAAGCAGCUCAGGGGAGCUUUGAUCC